rnacentral:siRNA from 1 species
AGAAGUAGCGGUGUAAUCAUUA